UACAGGGGGCGCGAGCGUUGCUCGGAAUCACUGGGCGUAAAGCGUACGCAGGCGGACUGUUAAGUCGGGUGUGAAAGCCCGGGGCUCAACCCCGGAAUUGCAUUCGAAACUGGCAGUCUUGAGUACGGAAGAGGGAGUGGAAUUCCUGGUGUAGAGGUGAAAUUCGUAGAUAUCAGGAGGAACACCGGUGGCGAAAGCGGCUCCCUGGUCCGAUACUGACGCUCAUGUACGAAAGCGUGGGAGCAAACAGG
rnacentral:rRNA from 1 species